AACAUUUUAUCUGAUCAGUUUCAUAGUAGCCUUGACUUUAUCCAUGAGAGGUUGUUUGUUUAAGUCUCAAAUUAGUGUCUCUUGAACACCACAUUUACCACAGCAAUAUCUUCCGAAUGCUCUUGAAAUUUUUGCUCUUCUGCCUCAGUUUCAGAAAAUGUAAGCUUUUUGUAUAUUUCUAACACUUGAGUGGAAUAAAAUUGCUCUAUCUCUUUGUUUUCUUCCAGGGCCGGCGUCGCAGUGAUGCCAAGAUUAACAAAAGGCACUGUGACAUCCUUACAACACAGGGCUUCACAGCAGCACAGUGGAAGGAUGUAUGUGUUGGAGAUAUAUUGAGAAUUUAUAGGGACCAAGUGAUACCGGCAGAUCUGCUCCUCCUAUGCAGCACUGAACCCCACAGCUUAUGCUAUAUUGAGACAGCUGAUAUAGAUGGAGAAACCAACUUGAAAUUUCGCCAGGCUCUUACUAUCACCCACAAUGAAUUGACAAGUGGUCCAGUAGAAGAGCAUCUUCAGUUUUUUGAUGGGGUUGUUUGGUGCGAGGAGCCAAACAGUCGCCUGUACUCUUUCAGAGGGGAGUUACACUGGCAGGGACAGUGUUAUACACUGGACAGUGAUUACAUACUGCUCCGGGAAACUGUACUGCGCAACACUGACACUGCAUAUGGCCUUGCAAUUUACACAGGAUCUGACAGUAAGAUUCUCAGGAACAGUGGGAGUCUGAAAAUCAAGAAGACACAAGUGGAGAAGUUUCUGAACAAAGUAGUAGGGACGGUAAGAGUGGACAUUUCUUCUGGCUGAAUAGGCACAAAUUCCCACUAUCAUGUUUCAAAAUCUAGUGGAAAGCCUUUCCAGAAUUGUGAAAGUACGGCGUCCACAAACUUUUGGUGAUAUACAAUAUUUAACCCCAAAUUGGAAGCCAUCAAACUAUCCUCAUGGCAACUGGUGAGAAAAGCUUAUACUGGGUUUUAAUAGAAGAUAAAGCUUUAUACCAUAUAAGGAUUAUGGAUGAUGUUUUCUAAUGUGAGCAGAUAAAGAUAGAAUAGAAUGGGCCCUAAGAGGAAACCGAGAAAGCGAAAGAUGCAAAGAUGACCAGAAUUUAGUGAGAAUGUCUUAUGGUAAAGAAAGGACAUAAACUGUUUGGGACACAACGUAAACCUACAAGUAUUUGUGCAUAAUUUACAACAACAAAAACCAAGCUCUGAAAUGUUUGUUUUUGGAUAGUAAAACACAUGUUGAGACCUUAGAAUUAUAGUUUAA